CAGCAGCCACGGGAAUACGAGGGGGGCAAGCGUUGUUCGGAAUUAUUGGGCGUAAAGCGUGCGUAGGCGGCUAAUUGAGUCGGAUGUGAAAUCCCCGAGCUUAACUUGGGAAUUGCAUUCGAUACUGGUUAGCUAGAGUGUGGGAGAGGAUGGUAGAAUUCCAGGUGUAGCGGUGAAAUGCGUAGAGAUCUGGAGGAAUACCGAUGGCGAAGGCAGCCAUCUGGCCUAACACUGACGCUGAGGUACGAAAGCAUGGGGAGCAAACAGGAUUAGAUACCCCUGUAGUCCCUGUCUCUUAUAU
rnacentral:rRNA from 1 species